rnacentral:rRNA from 1 species
GAUGAACGCUGGCGGCGUGCCUAAUACAUGCAAGUCGAGCGAACGGACGAGAAGCUUGCUUCUCUGAUGUUAGCGGCGGACGGGUGAGUAACACGUGGAUAACCUACCUAUAAGACUGGGAUAACUUCGGGGAACCGUAGCUAAUACCGGAUAAUAUUUUGAACCGCAUGGUUCAAAAGUGAAAGACGGUCUUGCUGUCACUUAUAGAUGGAUCCGCGCUGCAUUAGCUAGUUGGUAAGGUAACGGCUUACCAAGGCAACGAUGCAUAGCCGACCUGAGAGGGUGAUCGGCCACACUGGAACUGAGACACGGUCAAGACUCCUACGGGAGGCAGCAGUAGGGAAUCUUCCGCAAUGGGCGAAAGCCUGACGGAGCAACGCCGCGUGAGUGAUGAAGGUCUUCGGAUCGUAAAACUCUGUUAUUAGGGAAGAACAUAUGUGUAAGUAACUGUGCACAUCUUGACGGUACCUAAUCAGAAAGCCACGGCUAACUACGUG